GUGGGUCUUUCAUUUCUAAGAAAGGUUGAGAUUUUGCUCAGCAAAUCACUCAAAAUCAUUUACAUAACGGGAAAAAAGAAAGAUAAGGUACAACAGUUAACGUGGUUUCUUUGUGAAGUAGUAAUGAUCAGAAUCCUGCAAUCCGUUUUAUCAAGGAAGUCAAAUUGACAAAUGGUUGAGCCGAUAAAAUCAAGCUUCUUGCAUGUUAGCGAGUAAUAACACGAUCAGAAGUAGCAGAACCAAGGCAUUUCUUUGAAACUCAUCCAGUCCGCCGCCAAUCCAAAAUGUUCUCUUAUCUCCAGGAAAAUGAUUUUUGUAACAAAGCCAUUAGAGUCGGGCAGACUCUCAUCAUGAGGACUGGCAUGGAUGAACGUCCCCAGAACAUAAAAUUCCAAAUCCGUUUUAAAUAUUGUUCCCAUGAACAACGCAAAAUAGCCUUGGAUGACGUUAUAUUUAUUCGCUCAUGUCAUCACCUCUUUCAAGAUCACUAAGUCCACCAAAUUCUUCUUCUUCCUCUUCUUUACUAUCUUGAUCAGUUUCCAUGGCCUCAUCAGAUUCUUGUUCAUCACUUUCAUC
rnacentral:misc_RNA from 1 species